UGUUGGGUUAAGUCCCGCAACGAGCGCAACCCUCGUUCCAUGUUGCCAGCAGCGUCCUUCGGGGCGGCUGGGGACUCAUGGGAGACUGCCGGGGUCAACUCGGAGGAAGGUGGGGAUGACGUCAAGUCAUCAUGCCCCUUAUGUCCAGGGCUUCACGCAUGCUACAAUGGCCGGUACAAAGGGUUGCGAUGCCGUGAGGCGGAGCGAAUCCCAAAAAGCCGGUCUCAGUUCGGAUUGGGGUCUGCAACUCGACCCCAUGAAGUCGGAGUCGCUAGUAAUCGCAGAUCAGCAACGCUGCGGUGAAUACGUUCCCGGGCCUUGUACACACCGCCCGUCACGUCACGAAUCACAGGAAACAGCUAUGACCAUGGCCCAACCGCUUGCGG
rnacentral:rRNA from 1 species